UUUCAUUCUCGUGGUAAACAAGUCUGUGCGCUAUUUCUUUUUUCCCCCCUUUUGCUCCCCAAUUUCGUGGUAUCCAAUUGUUUUAGUAGCUACUAUCUUGUCUCAUCGCUACAACUCCCGUACGGGCUCGGGAGAGACAAAGGUUUAAAGUCAUGCAUCCUCUGAUACACAACCCAACCAAGCUGCACCAAUGUGUCGGAGGAAACACCGUGCCCCUGGCAACCUUGGUUAGCGCGCACUGCGCCCGGCCCGCCACAGGAGUCGCUGGUGCGCAAUGAGACAAGGAUUUCCCUACCAGCCAAACCCUCCCUAACCCGGACGACGCUAGGCCAAUUGUGCGUCACCCCACGGAACUCCCGGUCGCAGCCGGUUACGACAGAGCCUGGGCGCGAACCCAGAGUCUCUGCUGGCGCUAUGUUGUACACUGGGUCUAUGUUGUACACUGCUUUAUGGCAAGCUCCAGAUCCCUAUCAAUGUGUGAAAGACAGGGUGCAGGACAGGAGCCAGUGCGUGUGUGUCCCCCCCCCCCUAUGGCAAGAACUGAAAAUGUUUUGUCUAGCAAUAAUCAACAACCACAGAGGGAAAAAUGACUUACUACGACUGAUGUGGUUGUCUCCCCUAGCUUUUUAGAGAUGAAUGCAUUAAUUGUAAGUCGCUCUGGAUAAGAGCGUCUGCUAAAUGACUGAAAUGUAAACGUUAAUACACUCUGAAGUGUGGUAUUCUGGAUGUUGCCAAAUGUUUGUUCACUGCUCUCUCACUUCUCUAUCAGGGACAUGUAUACUGGAGUGGACAGGCCACCCACUCAAUCUGUAGUGCUGACAAGCACAAUGGCAGCCUCUUCAGAGUCAUCCUGCCCAAUAUCGCUUUCACUGGUGCCUUGGUUCUCGUUCACCCAGUUCUUCAACCAAAAGGCUCUGCUGUAUGUGGAAAUACCAGUAGAGUUUGUCCAUAUGAGUGUGUGCCAUACCUUUUCUCUGGAACAGGCUCUCCCAGCUUCACCUGCGUUUCUCCAACAGGUGAUGAUGUUUCUCACCCACUUCCAGACCCAGCGGUGUCUGAUACAACCUAUGCUGGAAUCCUUUCACUUAUAG
rnacentral:lncRNA from 1 species